rnacentral:rRNA from 1 species
UACGGAGGGUGCGAGCGUUAUCCGGAAUUACUGGGUUUAAAGGGUGCGUAGGCGGCCAUGUAAGUCAGGAGUGAAAGUUUACGGCUCAACCGUAAAAUUGCUUUUGAUACUGCAUGGCUGGAACCAGGAUGAGGUCAGCGGAAUGUGGCAUGUAGCGGUGAAAUGCAUAGAUAUGCCAUAGAACACCAAUUGCGAAGGCAGCUGGCUAGACCUGUAUUGACGCUGAGGCACGAAAGCGUGGGGAGCGAACAGG